rnacentral:rRNA from 1 species
AGAGUUUGAUCAUGGCUCAGGAUAAACGCUGGCGGCGUGGAUAAGGCAUGCAAGUCAAACGGUUCGCCGUAAGGCGAACAGUGGCGAACGAGGUAGUAACACGUAGGUACGCACCCCAAAGUCAGGAAUAACUCAUCGAAAGAUGAGCUAAUACUUGAUAGUCUCUUCGGAGUAAAGAUUUAUCGCUUUGGGAGCGGCCUGCGGGAUAUCAGCUAGUUGGUAAGGUAACGGCUUACCAAGGCUAUGACGUCUAGGGGAGGUAAGAGCCUGACCCCCACCGAUGGUACUGAGACACGGACCAUACACCUACGGGUGGCCGCAGUCGAGAAUCUUCCACAAUGGGCGAAAGCCUGAUGGAGCGACGCCGCGUGAUCGAUGAAGUCUUUCGGGAUGUAAAGAUCUUUUAUGAGCAAAGAAGUUUAUUGACUAGCUCAUGAAUAAGGGGUUGCUAAACUCGUGCCAGCAGCAGCGGUAAUACGAGUGCCCCGAGCGUUAUCCGGAAUCAUUGGGCGUAAAGGGUGUGUAGGUGGUGCUAUUAGUCUUCAGUUAAAUUCUUCGGCUUAACCGGGGGCAUGCUGGGGAAACGGUAGCACUAGAGGAUGCGAGAGGUGAAUGGAACUCAUGGUGUAGGGGUGAAAUCCGUUGAUAUCAUGGGGAACACCAAAAGCGAAGGCAGUUCACUGGCGCAUUCCUGACACUGAGACACUAAAGCGUGGGUAGCGAAUGGGAUUAGAUACCCCCGUAGUCC